UAGAUUGAAGCCAGCAUGUUAGGGUAUUUAGCUGUUAACUAGAGUUUCGUGGGGUAGUAGCCCACCAAUCUAU
ensembl:Mt_tRNA